AUUGAACGCUGGCGACAUGCCUUACACAUGCAAGUCGAACGGCAGCACGGGGGCAACCCUGGUGGCGAGUGGCGAACGGGUGAGUAAUACAUCGGAACGUGCCCAGUAGUGGGGGAUAGCUCGGCGAAAGCCGGAUUAAUACCGCAUACGACCUAUGGGUGAAAGCGGGGGAUCGCAAGACCUCGCGCUAUUGGAGCGGCCGAUGUCAGAUUAGGUAGUUGGUGGGGUAAAGGCCUACCAAGCCAACGAUCUGUAGCUGGUCUGAGAGGACGACCAGCCACACUGGGACUGAGACACGGCCCAGACUCCUACGGGAGGCAG
rnacentral:rRNA from 1 species